ACUUUCCUAGAGCUGGACUCAGAUCCCUCAUCUAGCACAGUGAUGUGCACAGGACCCUUCCCCGAACACCAGACUCUGAAUCACGGAGCCACAGAGCUAGAGGAGACAUGAAGUUGAGUCCCAGUGGAGCUGUAUUUUGGCAAGUAGAGACUUUAACCUCGAAUGAGCAUCGAGACCGCUAAUGAUUUUAAAGCACCAGCAGCUGCCUUUGUGUUUAGUCAUCUAUCAUCCAGGGAGACUGCAAAGCUGGAAUAGGAACUGCAGCCCAGAGGAAAACACCACUACAAAACGGAGGCAAUUUUAAAGUACACAUCUCUCCCUCCGUGCCGUUCCAGGUCGGCUCCCCCUCUCUAUAAAAAGGCUGGAGCCGAGACACAAACAGGAUGGGAAAGUUGAAAGAGCUUCAGCCCUGGCAGAGAAUGAACACUUAGGAGCAGCCGCCACAGACCAGCACUACGACUCCUCCUGCGGCCACAACCAUUUUGCUGUGCUGGCUGCAGACCAGAUUCUUGGAUUACGAGAUGCAUUAAUCAAAAUUACAAUUUAUAAGUCACAGGGCUCGGCUCCCCUCAGUCCAGUUUAAAUAACAAUUAUAAAAAAGCCCACCUCAUAUCCAGAAGAAACAGAGAACACAGCAGCACUAUCUGGCUAUAUCUUAGUUUCUGGCCACAAAAAGCUGGCUACGGAGGAGCAUUCGAUUCCAGCAAGCAGACAGCUGCACCCACUCUCGUGAAAUAAGCGGACCUGGAUCUACAAUCCUUUGGGGUAGUGUCUUGGCAGCAUUUCUACGCCCAGUUUGUGAAGUCUCAGGCUUUUUUUUUUUUCCUGCAAAGAACCCACGUCGACUAUAAUGAGCACAUUCUAAAGAUGCUGUGCUGAAAGCUGGCAAUGGAUAAAGCAGGAACAUAAAAGCAGCCUAUUCCUAAAGCAAAUAUUUCUCUUACAACCCAUAAGAAUGAUGUGGCUUUCGUAAUCAAUUUUAGGAUUGAAGGAUUGAAAAAUCUGGCUCUGGCA